rnacentral:misc_RNA from 1 species
AACCUCAAGCUUUGCUUGGUAUUGGGCUGUCGCAUUACCUGUCUGUGUACAGGUAUUGGCGUGCCUGAAAGUCAGUGGCAGUGCCUAAAUAGACUCAAGCGUAGCAGACUGACUCGCUUUGGAGAACAUUUUGUAGGCUCUGUUGACAAAUUUAUUCAAGUUUGGACCUCGGAUCAGGUAGGGAUACCCGCUGAACUUAA